rnacentral:sRNA from 1 species
CAGACAUGCACUCUUUUCUUCUCCUGGCACACGCCGCUGGCCUGCGAGCAAGCGAUCGAAUGUUCCGUGAGGAAUGGAAGCUCUAUUGUUGACUUGUCUCCCCUCAUUCAUCGCACUGGUGGUUACGAGGCUUAUGAUGAGAGUGAGGAUGAUGCCUCCGAUACCAACCCUGAUUUCUACAUCAAUAUUUGUCAGCCACUAAAUCCCAUGCACGGAGUGCCUUGUCCUGCCGGAGCCGCUGUGUGCAAAGUUCCUGUUGAUGGUCCCCCCAUAGUAAGUAUGACAAAUCCAAGGGUGGAGAUAAUUUUUGCAAGACUUUUAGUGAUAACCUUUGCGUUGUUUCUUGCCUUCAGUGGAGA